GGCGGGUCCCAGCGCUGCCGCACCAUGGCGGACCAGCUUUAUCUGGAAAAUAUAGACGAGUUCGUCACGGACCAAAACAAGAUCGUGACAUACAAAUGGCUGAGCUAUACACUAGGGGUUCAUGUUAACCAGGCCAAACAAGAUGAGAUCUUGCUAUGUUGCCCAGGCUGGUCUCAAACUCCUGACCUCAAGUGAUCCUCCCACCUUGGCCUCCCAAAAUGCUGGGAUUACAGAUACAAGCCACUGUGCCCGGCCUAAGAAGAUUUUUUUUUUUCUUUUUUUUUUUUUUGAGGCAGAAGCCUUGCUCUGUCGCCCAGGCUGGAGUCCAACGGCGUGAUCUCGGCUCACUGCAACCUCCGCCUCCCUGGUUCAAGCUAUUCUACUGCCUCAACCUCCGAGGUAGCUGGGACUACAGGCAUGUGCCACCAUACCCGGCUAAUUUUAUUGUAUUUUUAGUAGAGUUGGGGUUUCACCAUGCUGGCCAGGCUGGUCUCGAACUCCUGACCUCAAGUGAUCUGCCCGCCUCGGCCUUCUAAAGUGCUGGGAUUACAGAUGUGAGCCAUCGUGCCAAGCCAAGAUUUUUUAAAUUGAGAAAUAAAGUUGUAUGUAUUUAUUGUGUACAACAUUAUGUUUUGAAGUAUAUAUACACUGUGGAGUAGUUAAAUCUAGCUAAUAAAUGUAUUACAUCACACAGUUAUUUUGGUGGUGAAAACAUUUAAUGUCUACCAUCUUUUCAUUUUUCAAGAAUAUAUCAUCACUAACUGUAGUCACCAUGCUAUACAGUAGAGCUCUUGAACUUAUUCCUGUCUAACUGUAAUUAUGUAUCCUUUAGACCCACAUCUCCCCAUUCCCCCUCCCCUAACCACUUCAGCCUAUGGAAAGAAAAUUCUGCUUUCCACUUCCGUGAGAUCACCUUUUACAGAUUCCACAAAUGAGUGAGAUCAUGUAGUAUUUGUCUGUGUCUGGCUUAUUUCAGUUAACAUAGUCUCUUCCAGGUUCAUCCAUUUUGUUGCAAAUGAUAGGAUUUUAUUCAUUUUUAUGGCUGAAUAGUAUUCCAUUGUGUAUAUACACUAUAUUUCCUUUAUCCAUUAAUGGACAUUUAUUGAUUCCAUAUCUUGGCUGUUGUAAAUAGUGCUG
rnacentral:lncRNA from 1 species